CGGAGAACACGGAAAACAAAAUUUACAGCUCUACAAGAUAAAAAAUGGACACAAACUUGCUCCACAUGCUGCUGCUAACUUUACAAGAUGAAACUUGGCAGAUUCAUUGUGGAUCCCUUUGAUUUUCACUUUGGUUUAUGCUACACACCUUAUAAUAUGAGGAAAUUUGCUUUUAUUUGUAUAACAUUUGACUUAUUUUAAAUUUAAUCUGGAUUCUAAGGAGCAUACAUGUCAAUUAAAUACUGCCAUUUCAUAAGCCAUCGACCUCAUGAAUAACCCACAACCCAUGACCCACCAAGCUGAUGGAUUAUCCUUA